CAACCGCGGAAGAAGGCGGUGGCCGUCUACCUCGUCCAGCGCCUCUCCGGCCCACGCCCCCCAUGAGCACCACGAGUGGAAGCCAGGGGACGCCCUCGAGGCGGCGCCGGCCCCUCCGCUCGAGGCCACAGCGGCGGAAGCCCGGGCACUCGUUCGAGGCGUCGCGCCUCCGCUCGAGGCCACAGCGGCGGACGCGCGCAGGACUCUGAAGCUAUGAUGGAAGAAGAGGCAGCAGUGCAUGCCCAGGAGCAAAUAGAGAAGAUGAAGAGGGUGGCAGCACGUGCUCUGGACAAGGCUUUGGCGCGUGCUCGAGAGGCAGCAGCACAUUCUCUGGAUAAUGCAGCAGCAUAUGCCGAAGGUGCAAUUUUCAGGAUCCUUGAAUGAGUCACUCCUUAUGCCCCACUCAACAUGCAACACAAAUCUGACACCGACUCCGUUAAGUAAACCUGCUCCAGAAAUAGGUUCAGAUGUGGUGGCUGUGACAAAUCCAGCUACGCCCAAGGAAGAGGAUGAAACUUGGAACAAAUGGCAACUCAUGUACAUAUUCGUGCUUACUACUACAGUGGGUCUACUGUUCCUGAUGUAUCAGCUAUUACCCCCGGUAUAUGGUCGCUUCAUCCUACUAGUGGUGGCUGCAGUAUGGGGUGUGGGCAUCGUUGGCUUGCCUUGUGGUCUGUAUGGUACUUCCAGGUGUGAGAAGGAGUGCAGCCGACAUGUCGGUUGGCUCAUCUCCACGCUGUUCGCAUUAUUCAUGAUCUAUUGUUUCUAUCUUGUGGCUCUGCGUGUGAACGGCUCUUCUGCACCUGCCCCAUCUUCGUCACGCUUGGAGCUUGGAGGGUGACCAGACAUCUACUGAUAGCAGCGAUGAGUUCUGGUGGACCGUGGCCUUUGGCGUGGUCGGCUCCUAGUGCUUGUAGGAUACCUAUGGGCUUGGUUUAGGGAAUGCUGGACAGGCGGCGACAGAGACAGGAGCCCCUAGCACACGGACCAACAGCAUGACCGUUCAUAUGUAUGAGCAGAAGUAUGCAGGGAGGUGGUGAUAGCAGGACCAGCAAACUGUUUGGAUUCGCACGAGUAGGAUCUAGGAUGCGUGUAUACCGGAAGGAACGGGUGCUCGUAGCAUAAGAAGGGAAGAGGUGAAUUAGAUAAUUUAAAAUCUUAACAUAUGGUUUCAC